UACGUAGGGGUCUAGCGUUGUCCGGAAUCAUUGGGCUUAAAGAGCGUGUAGGCGGUCCGGUAAGUCCGCUGUGAAAGUCGGGGGCUCAACCCUCGAAUGCCGGUGGAUACUGUCGGGCUAGAGUGCGGAAGAGGCGAGUGGAAUUCCUGGUGUAGCGGUGAAAUGCGCAGAUAUCAGGAGGAACACCUAUUGCGAAGGCAGCUCGCUGGGACGUAACUGACGCUGAGACGCGAAAGCGUGGGGAGCAAACAGG
rnacentral:rRNA from 1 species